AAAGGGAGCGUAGGCGGACUGUUAAGUUAGAGGUGAAAGCCCAGGGCUCAACCUUGGAAUUGCCUUUGAUACUGGCAGUCUUGAGUACGGAAGAGGUAUGUGGAACUCCGAGUGUAGAGGUGAAAUUCGUAGAUAUUCGGAAGAACACCAGUGGCGAAGGCGACAUACUGGUCCGUUACUGACGCUGAGGCUCGAAAGCGUGGGGAGCAAACAGGAUUAGAUACCCGAGU
rnacentral:rRNA from 1 species